rnacentral:rRNA from 1 species
UACGGAGGGUGCGAGCGUUGUCCGGAAUCACUGGGCGUAACGGGCGCGUAGGCGGUUUGUUAAGUUGGAUGUGAACACUGUGGGCUCAACCCAUAGCCUGCAUCCAAUACUGACAGGCUAGAGUUCUGGAGGGGAUAGCGGAAUUCCUGGUGUAGCGGUGAAAUGCGUAGAUAUCAGGAGGAACCCCGGUGGCGAAGGCGGCUAUCUGGACAGAGGCUGACGCUGAGGCGCGAAAGCUAGGGGAGCAAACAGG